rnacentral:rRNA from 2 species
UCGUACCUUUUGUAUGAUGGUUCAGUAAGGUUAAGUGAAGAGAAUUUUAAUUCCCGAAGAUAAACGAGCUAGUAUAUUCUACUUUUGAGAGAAGGAAAUUUUUACUGUUGCAAUAGUAAGGUUUGAGGAUAUAUUAGGUGUGAAAUGCUUAUCGUGUUUAUGGAUAGCUGGUUCUCUUGGAAAUUGGUGUUAGCUAAGUGCAUAUUUUUAUUGGAAUGGUAAUACUUUAGUUGAGUAAAGGUGUGAUUUUAAUAAUAAUAUUGUGGUGAGACAUAAAGGGAUAAGUCUUUUUGUCAAGAAGGAAAAAGCUUUGUCUAUAAAUUAAGAGUGAUUUAAGUUGGAAAUGCGAGGGUAAGUUGAAAAGAAGUAGGAUUAAUAGCAUCUAUCUUUGAAGAUAGCGUUAAAGCUUAUUUAUUUGUACCAAUGCAAGAAAUUAGAAGGAAUAGUACUCUAAAUUGUAGAGGAUUACAAGAGAAUUUCGUGAGAGCGAGUGUUAUAAUGCUGGAAUUAGUAGAGUGAAUAUUGUUUGUGUAUUAAUCAAUCCUAACAUUGGAUGGAAUAAAGGUUUACUAUCGAGAAAAGGUUUUAAUGGGUUGUCUACUAACGCAAGUGAUAUAAAAGUAUAAAUAUAAGGGAAAGGAAUUCGGCAAAUAGUGAUUUCGCCUGUUUACCAAAAACAUCGCCUUUUGUAAAGAGUCUAAUAUAUAAAAGGUCCUGCCUGCCCGGUGACUUAGUUAAACGGCCGCGGUAUUUUGACCGUGCAAAGGUAGCAUAAUCAUUUGCCUUUUAAAUGGGGGCUGGUAUGAAUGGCAAGACGGGAAUCAGACUGUCUCUCUCUUAGUGUUUUGAAAUUAAUAUUUUCGUGAAGAAGCGGAGAUUAAAUCGUAGGACGAGAAGACCCUAUCGAGCUUUAGUUGAAGUUAUAGGCUAGUGGUGGUAUUUUAUGUGCUAAUAAGUUAUUUUGUUAGCUUGAAAGGUACUGUUAAUAAUACUGAGGUUAUAAUAUUGUAGCUUAGUGGGGCAACUGCGGAGA